rnacentral:rRNA from 1 species
AACGAACGCUGGCGGCAUGCCUAACACAUGCAAGUCGAACGAGACCUUCGGGUCUAGUGGCGCACGGGUGCGUAACGCGUGGGAACCUGCCCUUAGGUUCGGAAUAACUCCCCGAAAGGGGUGCUAAUACCGGAUAAUGUCUUCGGACCAAAGAUUUAUCGCCUUUGGAUGGGCCCGCGUUGGAUUAGCUAGUUGGUAGGGUAAAAGCCUGCCAAGGCGACGAUCCAUAGCUGGUCUGAGAGGAUGAUCAGCCACACUGGGACUGAGACACGGCCCAGACUCCUACGGGAGGCAGCAGUGGGGAAUAUUGGACAAUGGGCGAAAGCCUGAUCCAGCAAUGCCGCGUGAGUGAUGAAGGCCUUAGGGUUGUAAAGCUAUUUUACCCGGGAUGAUAAUGACAGUACCGGGAGAAUAAGCUCCGGCUAACUCCGUG